AGCAUGACAUUGCCUUUGCAAUAGCCACUUUUCAACAUGUUUUAUGGAAUGAGUCGACGUGAUCAAUUACAAUCCUUUCACCCGAGCCCAGGAGUCAGGUGGAAUGCUUUGACGGAACUGCUAUUUUUGUAGAUAACACCAGUCUCUGAGGAAAUACGAAAGUCACAGCUGUCUCUGCUCUCUCCUUUCUGUCAGGCUCUACAGAUCCUCGAUUUUGCUGAGAUAUUCAGAGAAGACAAUCUUACUGCUAAGGUGGCCUUUGGACUUCCAUUUUUAUUUCUGAUCUCCUUUAUUCUACUUUCCGACUGACCCUGUUUCAGGUCAGCAGCCAACAGCAUAACAAAAGAAAGUUUAAACAUUCCUACCUGUUGAAUUCAAGAGAGGCCAAAUGAUUUACUUGCAUCCAUAAAAUGAUACAAUGAGAAGGUACCUGUCCACAAGUCAAGAAGAGAAUCUGUACCAGGAACUAAAUAUGCCAGACCUUGAUCUAGGACUU